AGCUCCAGUAGCGUAUACUAAUGUUGCUGCAGUUAAAAAGCUCGUAGUUGGAUUUCUGGUUGAUAAUUGUGGUCCGUCGGGUCUAACCCGUAUGAGUAUCGCUUAUUAUCUGCCAUCCUAUCAGGGUUCUAGGGUUUCGGCUCUAGGGUUCUGGUUCUUUUACUUUGAAAAAAUUAGAGUGUUUAAAGCAAGCUUGCGCGAUGAAUACAUUAGCAUGGAAUAAUAAUAUAGGACUACGGGUUCUAUUUUGUUGGUUUCUAGACCUGAAGUAAUGAUUGAUAGGGAUAGUUGGGGGUGCUAGUAUUGGGAGGCCAGAGGUGAAAUUCUUGGAUUCUCUCAAGACUAACUUAUGCGAAAGCAUUCACCAAGGAUGUCUUCU
rnacentral:rRNA from 1 species